rnacentral:tRNA from 1 species
UUAAUUGAAGCCAAAAUAGAGGCCUUUCAUUGUUAAUGAAAAAAAUGAUUAUAUAUCCAAUUAAA